rnacentral:rRNA from 1 species
AACGAACGCUGGCGGCGUGGAUAAGACAUGCAAGUCGAACGGAAUACCAUGAGUAGCAAUACAAGUGAUGUUUAGUGGCGAACGGGUGCGUAACACGUGGAUACAUUCCGGGAAGCGGGGGGAUAGCCCAGGGAAACUUGGAUUAAUACCGCAUGUGAUCGAAAGAUCAAAGACGGGGACCGCAAGGCCUGUCACUUCCCGAUUGGUCCGCGGCCUAUCAGCUAGUUGGCGGGGUAAAAGCCCACCAAGGCGACGACGGGUAGCUGGUCUGAGAGGACGACCAGCCACACUGGAACUGAGGCACGGUCCAGACACCUACGGGUGGCAGCAGUCGAGAAUCUUUCACAAUGGGGGCAACCCUGAUGGAGCGUCGCCGCGUGGAGGAUAAGGUCUUCGGAUUGUAAACUCCUGUCAUGCGUGAACAAGAUUGCAGGGUUAAUAACCCGAGCAAGUUGAUGGUAACGCAAGAGGAAGAGACGGCUAACUCUGUGCCAGCAGCCGCGGUAAU